rnacentral:rRNA from 1 species
UACGAGGGGGGCGAGCGUUGUUCGGAAUUAUUGGGCGUAAAGGGUGCGUAGGCGGUUUGGUAAGUCUUAUGUGAAAUCUACAGGCUCAACUUGUAGUCUGCAUGAGAAACUGCCGGGCUUGAGUAUGGGGGAGGUGAGUGGAAUUCCUGGUGUAGCGGUGAAAUGCGUAGAUAUCAGGAGGAACACCUGUGGCGAAAGCGGCUCACUGGACCAUAACUGACGCUGAUGCACGAAAGCUAGGGGAGCAAACAGG